GCACCGAUGGUGAAGUGGUAUCAGACCUGCAGUUUCAUUACCCCACGGUGUGCCGUGCAACUGUACGGUAGAUGUAGGUGUGGCGAGGAAAUCUGGAGUGUCUCACGGGUUCGACUCCCGGUCGGUGUA